rnacentral:rRNA from 1 species
UAAUACGGGGGGUGCAAGCGUUGCUCGGAAUCACUGGGCGUAAAGCGUCCGCAGGCGGACCUGCAGGUCGGUCGUGAAAGCCCGAGGCUCAACCUCGGAAAUGCGAUCGAAACCGCUGGUCUCGAGUCCGGGAGAGGGGGGUGGAAUUCCUGGUGUAGAGGUGAAAUUCGUAGAUAUCAGGAGGAACACCGGUGGCGAAAGCGGCCCCCUGGCCCGAAACUGACGCUCAUGGACGAAAGCGUGGGGAGCAAACAGGAUUAGAUACCCUGGUAGUCCACGCUGUAAACGAUGGAUGCUAGCUGAUGGGACUUCUACCGUCUCGUUGGCGUCGCUAACGCAUUGAGCAUCCCGCCUGGGAAGUACGGCCGCAAGGCUA